rnacentral:rRNA from 1 species
GAUGAACGCUGGCGGCGUGCCUAAUACAUGCAAGUCGAGCGAACAGACGAGGAGCUUGCUCCUUUGAUGUUAGCGGCGGACGGGUGAGUAACACGUGGAUAACCUACCUAUAAGACUGGGAUAACUUCGGGAAACCGGAGCUAAUACCGGAUAACAUUUUGAACCGCAUGGUUCAACAGUGAAAGACGGUCUUGCUGUCACUUAUAGAUGGAUCCGCGCUGCAUUAGCUAGUUGGUAAGGUAACGGCUUACCAAGGCAACGAUGCAUAGCCGACCUGAGAGGGUGAUCGGCCACACUGGAACUGAGACACGGUCCAGACUCCUACGGGAGGCAGCAGUAGGGAAUCUUCCGCAAUGGGCGAAAGCCUGACGGAGCAACGCCGCGUGAGUGAAGAAGGUCUUCGGAUCGUAAAACUCUGUUAUUAGGGAAGAACAAAUGUGUAAGUAACUGUGCACAUCUUGACGGUACCUAAUCAGAAAGCCACGGCUAACUACGUG